GACAGAGGAGGCAAGCGUUGUCCGGACUGACUGGGCGUAAAGCGCGCGCAGGCGGGUCGGGGCGUCGGUGCUGAAAGCCCACCGCUUAACGGUGGCAUGCGUGCCGAUACGCUCGACCUGGAGGGUGGGCGAGGGUGGUGGAAUUGCCGGUGUAGUGGUGAAAUGCGUAGAGAUCGGCAGGAACACCCGUGGCGGAAGCGGCCACCUAGCCCGCACCUGACGCUGAGGCGCGACAGCGUGGGGAGCGAACGGG
rnacentral:rRNA from 1 species